rnacentral:misc_RNA from 1 species
UCCGAGUUGACCCCGGCAGUCUCCUACGAGUCCCCGCCAUUACGCGCUGGCAACAUAGGACAAGGGUUGCGCUCGUUGCGGGACUUAACCCAACAUCUCACGACACGAGCUGACGACAACCAUGCACCACCUGUGUACCGCCCCGAAGGACACCGUAUCUCUACGGCUUUUCGGUACAUGUCAAGCCCAGGUAAGGUGGGGAUGACGUGAGGAUAGCAGA